CACGGUACAGCUUCAAUUCAGCUGUAGGUUACAUGUUGCCGACCUGGUCGGCAACAUGGACUGGAGCAAGAGUUUCAGAGUGAUGCCAGGCAGCGUCAUAUUUGGAGGGAAGAGCGGCUGAUGCAGGGAGUCCAAUAAAAAGAUUGACUGGACUGGACACAAGAACAUGUUGUACCAUGUAUGCAGCCAGGGACGCCAUGUAGCCAGGAUGCAGUGACAGCAGGCAGGCAUAAUGAAGGGAUACUGGCUCUUCACACAAUACAAUCGCUGUAAUGGAUGGAAAUGUAUCACUAUUUCAGAUUAUGAUGAAAUGCAGCUGAGUCGUUAGCUGUUCUGUUCUUAUUUGCACCUCUGUUGAUUUAGGUUUAAAGUAAGUUCUACCAAUCACCUUUGGUUUCAGUUCUUUAUCUCCCUCAGACUUUGGGUUUUCAUGCAAAUAUUGAAUACUUUUUCCCUUGCUUCCCUUCCCUUUGUUGCUAUACUAUCAUUUAGUGUCUGUUUAUAAAGCAGCCUCCAGUGAG